rnacentral:tRNA from 1 species
GGGGCCGUGGUCUAGCUUGGCGGGACGGCGGGCUCCAGACCCGUAGGUCGCAGGUUCAAAUCCUGCCGGCCGUU